rnacentral:rRNA from 1 species
ACGGGUGAGUAACGCGUGGGAAUCUACCGUACCCUACGGAAUAGCUCUGGGGAACUGGAAGUAAUACCGUAUACGCCCUAACGGGGAAAGAUUUAUCGGGGUAUGAUGAGCCCGCGUUGGAUUAGCUAGUUGGUGGGGUAAAGGCCUACCAAGGCGACGAUCCAUAGCUGGUCUGAGAGGAUGAUCAGCCACAUUGGGACUGAGACACGGCCCAAACUCCUACGGGAGGCAGCAGUGGGGAAUAUUGGACAAUGGGGGCAACCCUGAUCCAGCCAUGCCGCGUGAGUGAUGAAGGUCUUAGGAUUGUAAAGCUCUUUCAACGGUGAAGAUAAUGACGGUAACCGUAGAAGAAGCCCCGGCUAACUUCGUGCCAGCAGCCGCGGUAAUACGAAGGGGGCUAGCGUUGUUCGGAAUUACUGGGCGUAAAGCGCACGUAGGCGGGUAUUUAAGUCAGGGGUGAAAUCCCGCAGUUCAACUGCGGAACUGCCUUUGAUACUGGGUAUCUUGAGUAUGGAAGAGGUAAGUGGAAUUGCGAGUGUAGAGGUGAAAUUCGUAGA